UUGAAAAUUGAAAUUGGCGGCGAUAACCAAACGCCUCCUCAAUCUCCACUCCACGCCAAUUCUCAUCCUCCUACGACCCCGACGAUCAAUCUCAAACGCCUCCUUCAGUCUCCUCCAGCCUCAACGAUGUCAAAGCCACCCUCCAAAAUCGCCACCCUCCUCGCAGCCCUGUCUCAUUUCCCAGCGGUGGUCCCACGGACGAGAUGCGUCAGCGCCUCUCGGAGUUCCGCUCCCGCACCGCGCCGCCGCCGAGUUCCGUCGAUAAAUACGUUUCGCUGCACGAGCUCUAAGAGAAGAACAUCAAAUCCAAGGGUGAAAACUCCGGCGAUCGGUCUAGUAUCGGUGCCGGUGACGGUAAUCACUCACUCGAAUCCUUUCGCCCAAGCUUUGGAAGGAAGCCCUUUGAUUCGUCGGCGAUUUCGAAUUUUACCAUGGGUUUGAGGACGAAAGCUGCCCUGGAUGGGAGAGGAAAAAGUAUGGGAUUUGGGAGGAUUCAUGAUCGCUCGGAAUUGGGGAAGAGGCUACAGGAGAUGAGACCAGUGAAAACGGAAGGGGAAGUGGUUUUCGUUGCAGGAAAUGAGCGAGAGGCUUGCUAAGGUCAGGGAGGCUCAGCAUGAGGAGAUGGGGAACAGGGCAGGACUCCCGCAUGUAGUUGCAGAUGGUCUUUACAAAAUACACAAGGACAGUCUCCAAAAGGAAAAACAGAAAGGGCCGCUUGUGAGUAUUAAUAUUUUGGGUUCCAUGGGUGCGGCCCUAGAUGAGAAGAUAGCAGGACCCCCAAAAGAUCAUUUAAUUGAGAAUUAUUAAACGUGUCAUCUGCUGAGAAACUGAAGUUGGAGAUUGAAAAAGUAAGAGAUGAAUUUAAAAUGUCCGAGUCGGAUUGUGGUUCCCCUCGUGUUCAAGUGGCUCAAUUGACAACAAAGAUUAAACAUCUGUCAACUGUUUUACAUAAAAAGGAUAAGCAUUCUACACGAGGUUUUCUAGCAAUGGUUCAAAGGAGGAAGAAGCUGUUGAAAUAUCUCAGACGGACUGACUGGGACUCGUACUACUGCCUUGUUCUCUCGAAGCUUGGUCUCCGUGAUAACCCUGAUGUUAAAGCAUAGGCAACUGCUAAUGGAAAGUGAGUUUUCAGGUUAGAAAUUUCUGUAGUAGAUUCAGCAGCGAUUGCCUUGGUUUUAUUUUCUUGGCAACACUUUGUUGGAACAACAGAAAUAAUUUUGUUUUCUUUCUGGAAACCUGAGAUUUAGUCAACAUGGAUGUGGGGUGUAAUUUUAGCCCCUCAAAUCUGGAAAUUCUCAGUCAUCCAAUAAUGUAAAUUUUGGUAUAGUUCACACUUUGAAAUUGAUUCUA